AUCUUCUCCAGCUUCGCUGCCAAAGCAUCGCCUUCCACCAAUGUGUAGCAAUAAGUUAGUGUCUUCUCAUCCAGUUCGUCCACGCGCAAAGUUGAUCUGCUUGAUGCUCCCAGCACCUCCAUCACCUUGUGUGAUCUCAAUGCUUUUGAUGGCCUGCGGCAGGAGCUUCGGGAUCAAGUUGUGAGAAUCAACGAUCGAGGCCUUGAAGAUCCUCAAUGGCGCAAUUGGGGAAGUGUAUUCGUCACAGAAUGUGGUAACACCCAUGAUUCUUCUCUUGACUGAUGAAGGAUUAAGUAGAUUUCUGUUGUGACUUGAUUUGGGAUGAGGAUGAAGAAAGCAUGGGUAUUUAUAUGUGA